UAGUUUACCGAGUCGUGCAGGAUGAAGAACCGCAGAGGUUCGAGCAUCGCGCAGCGAUACGACAACGCGCAGCGUUGCCCGCAGGGUGAGGCCACAGGCCGAAUCAAUCCUGCACGACCCACCA
rnacentral:sRNA from 1 species